rnacentral:rRNA from 1 species
GUAAGGUGAUAUGAACCGUUAUAACCGGCGAUUUCCGAAUGGGGAAACCCAGUGUGACUCGUCACACUAUCAUUAACUGAAUCCAUAGGUUAAUGAGGCGAACCGGGGGAACUGAAACAUCUAAGUACCCCGAGGAAAAGAAAUCAACCGAGAUUCCCCCAGUAGCGGCGAGCGAACGGGGAGGAGCCCAGAGCCUGAAUCAGCAUGUGUGUUAGUGGAAGCGUCUGGAAAGGCGCGCGAUACAGGGUGACAGCCCCGUACACAAAAGCGCAUGUGCUGUGAGCUCGAUGAGUAGGGCGGGACACGUGGUAUCCUGUCUGAAUAUGGGGGGACCAUCCUCCAAGGCUAAAUACUCCUGACUGACCGAUAGUGAACCAGUACCGUGAGGGAAAGGCGAAAAGAACCCCGGCGAGGGGAGUGAAAAAGAACCUGAAACCGUGUACGUACAAGCAGUGGGAGCCCCACCACUAAGCCAGUGGUGAACUCCACAUACGCAUCCUUUGCUGAGGAUACGGUUAACGGAGCGAAAGCGACGUUCAACCUCAAAAGAAGCAGAGGGGGCUUAGUGGUGGGGUGACUGCGUACCUUUUGUAUAAUGGGUCAGCGACUUAUAUUCUGUAGCAAGGUUAACCGCAUAGGGGAGCCGUAGGGAAACCGAGUCUUAACCGGGCGUUAAGUUGCAGGGUAUAGACCCGAAACCCGGUGAUCUAGCCAUGGGCAGGUUGAAGGUUGGGUAACACUAACUGGAGGACCGAACCGACUAAUGUUGAAAAAUUAGCGGAUGACCUGUGGCUGGGGGUGAAAGGCCAAUCAAACCGGGAGAUAGCUGGUUCUCCCCGAAAGCUAUUUAGGUAGCGCCUCGUGAAUUCAUCUCCGGGGGUAGAGCACUGUUUCGGCUAGGGGGCCAUCCCGGCUUACCAACCCGAUGCAAACUGCGAAUACCGGAGAAUGUUAUCACGGGAGACACACGGCGGGUGCUAACGUCCGUCGUGAAGAGGGAAACAACCCAGACCGCCAGCUAAGGUCCCAAAGUCAUGGUUAAGUGGGAAACGAUGUGGGAAGGCCCAGACAGCCAGGAUGUUGGCUUAGAAGCAGCCAUCAUUUAAAGAAAGCGUAAUAGCUCACUGGUCGAGUCGGCCUGCGCGGAAGAUGUAACGGGGCUAAACCAUGCACCGAAGCUGCGGCAGCGACACUCAGGUGUUGUUGGGUAGGGGAGCGUUCUGUAAGCCUGUGAAGGUGGCCUGUGAGGG